rnacentral:rRNA from 1 species
UACGAAGGGGGCUAGCGUUGCUCGGAAUCACUGGGCGUAAAGCGCACGUAGGCGGCUUUUUAAGUCAGAGGUGAAAUCCUGGAGCUCAACUCCAGAACUGCCUUUGAUACUGUAGAGCUUGAGUCCGGGAGAGGUGAGUGGAACUGCGAGUGUAGAGGUGAAAUUCGUGGAUAUUCGCAAGAACACCAGUGGCGAAGGCGGCUCACUGGCCCGGUACUGACGCUGAGGUGCGAAAGCGUGGGGAGCAAACAGG